CUUCGAUGUUUGGACAUGAGGAGUAAUCUGGACACUAAGACGGCAUGUGAUGAAAAGUAGUUUGUUUAUAUUUUUGUUGAUUUGAGUUUUAAUUGCGUGAUACGAGAUAAGACCAUGUAUGAGGGCUUUAUUAAUUUGGGAUCACGUGUGUUCUUGUUUCCAAGCUGCACGGCCCAGAACACAAACUAUCCCGAGAGCCUCAAACCAUUUCCAGCUGUCACUUCCCUGCUCCGGUCUCUUACUCCUAACCUGAUAUGACAGGGCAAGAAGAGGAGCAUCCUGUGACCCCCGACCUCCCGGACAAUAGAGGCCAGGACGUUUCCCAGUGAGCGCCGAUGGAGCCAACAACAGGAACAUGAGGGGUGCUCCUGGGAAACAAACUGUUUAUUGUGCAGCAGG